AAUAAUAGAUAAUAUUUCGACGAGUUAUUAUUUUUUAUCAGCAAACAUCCGGGUAAUUGUUUUGAGACAGUCUGUUGGAAAUUUUUUACUGCGAGGGAAUUAUUUUGGAUUCAAGUAGUUCAUGGAAUUCUUGGAGUUGGUUUUCUCUCGAGAAUUAUUAUUUUUUAUUUUGAAAACUAUGAGUGUUAUUUUUUCACCUGCAAAAAUUCUGAGGUGUGAAUUUUUCGAUUUAUCUCUCUUGGUAGGGAGCGAAAAAUAAAAUUGCAGUUGAAAAAUGAUUAGAAUAAAUUUAUGAAUAAGGAAAAUGUGAUACGAAAAAAAUAUCGUCCUAUAAUUCAUGAUUCACAUGUGACACACUUGGAGUGACAGCUUGAAUGAUCCUUCAAUAACUAAAAAUAGUAACUGAAUUUUUCAAACCCACAGUCACAUCAAUCUGAAUAAUAUCCCAAUUUUUUCCCCUCUUUCUUUAUCAGCCUCCACGCCAGCACGAACUCAACGUCGGGGGUUUACUGGGAGGGCAACCACGGUCGCGCGUGCUAUUUUCACCCCACAGUGUGCGUAUCGAUCUGUCUGAAUGAGAUAAGGAGUUUUUCGUGCCCUCAUGUUCUCCUAAAAAAAGUAAAAACACUUCCAGCCCUUUCAUUUCGGGCAGGGGAAAAUUUUUGAUUUUGAGCCCUCGAAGUCAAGAGCCCUGGAUUCUUAAAAUAAGAACUGUUAACACCCUUCCAAUAUUGCGGCGCGUGAUUGAGGACAAGAGGAGGUCUUGUAAUGGCCCGACUAUUCGUGCAGAAAUUUCACUCAAAUUCAAUAUUUUCUUACGGUAGAGUGAACCCUUUUUACCUUCGCGCAAGAAGAAAGAUUUUUUUUUAUUCCUGUGAUGCGGAGUAAGCAGAUGGCCCACGUUUCCACACAUUCGUAUUCCGGGUUCGACGUCAGGAACUCCGAGACGCUCUUUCAGCAUUUAAGUUGAUUUAUUUCCAAAGUUUCAUGUAUAAAUGUAUUGGGAGGGAGAAUGAAGUUAUCUCUCCCUUAUCUUGCUGAACACGGAAGGUCCCGGUCCAUUGACAUUUUUCUCGGCACGUGGAUUGUUCGUCUCAAUAUGUCUCAAAUUUGGAGCUGAUAGUUCCGCCUUUGGAAAUUCUCCUCGCGUUAUAAACUUUUCUAAACCUAAAGCCGAAUUAUAAACCACGAAAAAAUCUAUUCAUCCAGAAACAUUAAUUUAUCAGCUGUACCAACCAUAUUCACGUAAAAAAAUGUGAUCAAUCAUUUGUUUAAUUUAAAAGUAUUAUUAUUAUCCAUGCAAUUUCAAUUAUUUUCAUCUCAAAAUUCUCCUUAUGCAAUCGUGAGCGCUUCAACUACGUGUACUCUCGCUCCAAUUUUUCCUUCAGAGGAAUUAAAACUUUACCUGACUUUUUCUUCAGCCAAACUUGGCUGUGCUUCCCAACUUUAUCUUUAUGAUAAUAAUAUCAGAACGAAGGAGAACAUCACGGCAUGUAAAUAUCCCGGGGGACGUCGGGAAUGGGGAUUAAUCGCUGGGCACUAAAUUAUCUCUUAUGAAGAAAAAUUUUCGUAAUUCCUGCGGCAAAUUGAAUUGUUUUUUUUUUCUUUAUCGCAAGCUGGAUUAUGUUAGCGCUCGUAAAUUACCUCCAUUGGGGCUGGUUGAUAAAGGUUAGUGAAAAAAAAAUACACACCUACGGCAUUUCUUUGUGUACUCGUUGUGCCCACGCAUCGGACAGCAACUGCAUACGACUGGAUGAUUCAGAAAGCAAAAUAUUGUGACGAUAUUCCACUGGGUUUAGACGUGAUGGAUUUCCCACUGUGCGAGUAAAUUUACAAUGCGGUGUGGAUAAAAUGUGAUACGAAAGAGUCUGUGUGCCGACAACUGCUAAUCGGUGUCAUCUCUCUUGUAAUUGAUUGUUUCUUUUAUGAUUGAAUAAUUAUGUAUAUCCAGAGACACUUGGGAAAUAAUGAUCACGACGAUGGAGAACUCGUCUCGCCUCGUCUGAAAUACUUCUUGAGCGAAUUUUCCUUGAGAAUAAUAUCUUGGUGAGCCGUCUUCUUGGGAGACAUGCGUAGUUGGAUAUAGGUGUAAUGGUUAUCGAUUACUUCCUAUAACAAGCAUAAAUCCACAGAGGAUUAACACGGCUUGAUGCAUCCUCAAUAUCUAAUACGGAGUUGAGGUCUUGAGUAAUUACGCAGCUUUGAAUAUAAUACUGAUUUGAUUUGAGAUGAUUUUGGCAUCGGCAGGUGAGAGCCAAGUGUGCCAUUCAAAAAUCAAUGUCCCCACCUUUUAAAAUAUUCUCAUAAUCACAGAAAAAAAUAUUAAAAUUCAUUAAGAAUAUUCUUCAACGACUGCAGAACGUCAAAAUAAUAUUGUCAAUUUUAAAUGAAGUAUGGGUGUGCCUGUAACAAUUUCCUGUCUCAUUUUCUUUCUCAUAUAUAUUCAUGGUGAGCUUUUGAUGGUAUUAUUUGAGUCCAUAAACGUCUGUACUGGAAAAUCCCAAUCCUGUCCCCUCAAUAUCUCCCCCCAGCCAGUAUUAUCAGUACUCUUCAUGUAAUGAGGCAUUAACGCGCUCAAUCUCCAGUUUCCCAAGCCGCAAGUUUCAUAAUCCUGGGGUCAUACUCACCGGCGAACCUCCCAUAACUAAGUAACAACAGUUAUUAAUAAAACUCGUCCAUUUGGCGCAGUAGAAGCGAUGAUCACAGUUACACGGCCCGACCCAUGUACCCAUUAUCUUGUCGGUACAUGAAUCGGCCUCAGAUGAGAUGUUCAUCUUGAAUGUGACCCGCGGUAUCAAAUUUCAAAUGCGAUUGUUCCAAUGUUCAGAACAAUGAGCUCUCAUCGGUCACUCGUUGUUGAUUAUUUUUUCAUUUAUCGAAAAAGCCUAUCAUUGAGUAGAUUAUUAUUAUAAAUAAUAAAUUUUAUCUAUCCGAUUAAUAAUGUACAGGAGACUGGAGAAAUUAUCGACACAAACACACAAAUAAAUUUGAAUUCUUCAGUUUUAAUUUUCUUCAGCGAAUGCAAUUAAGUGAUGAAAAAUAAAUUUCAUAU